rnacentral:rRNA from 1 species
GCGUGUGUGAAGAAGGCCUUCGGGUUGUAAAGCACUUUCAGCGAGGAGGAAGGGUUAGUAGUUAAUAGCUGCUAAUUUUGACGUUACUCGCAGAAGAAGCACCGGCUAACUCUGUGCCAGCAGCCGCGGUAAUACAGAGGGUGCAAGCGUUAAUCGGAAUUACUGGGCGUAAAGCGCACGUAGGCGGUUUUUUAAGUCAGAUGUGAAAGCCCCGGGCUCAACCUGGGAAUUGCAUUUGAAACUGGAAAACUAGAGUGUGUGAGAGGGGGGUAGAAUUCCAAGUGUAGCGGUGAAAUGCGUAGAGAUUUGGAGGAAUACCAGUGGCGAAGGCGGCCCCCUGGCACAACACUGACGCUCAGGUGCGAAAGCGUGGGGAGCAAACAGGAUUAGAUACCCUGGUAGUCCACGCCGUAAACGAUGUCUACUAGCUGUUCGUGGUCUUGUACCGUGAGUAGCGCAGCUAACGCAUUAAGUAGACCGCCUGGGGAGUACGGUCGCAAGAUUAAAACUCAAAUGAAUUGACGGGGGCCCGCACAAGCGGUGGAGCAUGUGGUUUAAUUCGACGCAACGCGAAGAACCUUACCUACUCUUGACAUCUACNGAACUUAGCANAGAUGCUUUGGUGCCUUCGGGAACUGUAAGACAGGUGCUGCAUGGCUGUCGUCANCUCGUGUUGUGAAAUGUUGGGUUAAGUCCCGCNACGAGCGCAACCCUUAUCCUUAGUUGCCANCGAGUUAUG